UGGACAAUGGGGGAAACCCUGAUCCAGCCAUGCCGCGUGAGUGAUGAAGGCCUUAGGGUUGUAAAGCUCUUUCGGCGGGGAAGAUAAUGACGGUACCCGCAGAAGAAGCCCCGGCUAACUUCGUGCCAGCAGCCGCGGUAAUACGAAGGGGGCUAGCGUUGCUCGGAAUCCCUGGGCGUACAGCGCACGUAGGCGGAUUUCUAAGUCAGGGGUGAAAUCCUGGAGCUCAACUCCAGAACUGCCGUUGAUACUGGAAAGCUCGAGUUCGGGAGAGGUGUGUGGAACUGCGAGUGUAGAGGUGAAAUUCGGAGAUAUUCGCAAGAACACCAGUGGCGAAGGCGGCUCACUGGCCCGAUACUGACGCUGAGGUGCGAAAGCGUGGGGAGCAAACA
rnacentral:rRNA from 1 species